rnacentral:rRNA from 1 species
AGAGUUUGAUCAUGGCUCAGGAUGAACGCUAGCGGCAGGCUUAACACAUGCAAGUCGAGGGGUAACGGGGAAGCUUGCUUCCGCCGACGACCGGCGCACGGGUGCGUAACGCGUAUACAAUCUACCUUAUACUGGGGUAUAGCCUUUAGAAAUGAAGAUUAACCCCCCAUAGUCUCUUAGAGUGGCAUCACUUCUAGAGUAAAGGUUACGGUAUAAGAUGAGUAUGCGUUCUAUUAGUUUGUUGGUGUGGUAACGGCACACCAAGACUACGAUAGAUAGGGGCCCUGAGAGGGGGAUCCCCCACACUGGUACUGAGACACGGACCAGACUCCUACGGGAGGCAGCAGUGAGGAAUAUUGGACAAUGGAGGCAACUCUGAUCCAGCCAUGCCGCGUGCAGGAAGACUGCCCUAUGGGUUGUAAACUGCUUUUAUACAGGAAGAAACACCUCUACGUGUAGAGGCUUGACGGUACUGUAAGAAUAAGGAUCGGCUAACUCCGUGCCAGCAGCCGCGGUAAUAC